GCGGGCGUAGUUGAUCGGUACAAUGCCACCUUCCCAAGGUGGAGAGGGCAGUUCAAUUCUGCUCGCCCGCU
rnacentral:tRNA from 1 species